UAUUUUUAAUUGACAUAGACCAAGUCUUUAGUAAAAUGAGGAUGAUGCAUGGGGAAUAGCC
rnacentral:tRNA from 1 species